UACGUAGGGGGCAAGCGUUGUCCGGAUUUAUUGGGCGUAAAGAGCGUGUAGGCGGCCAGGUAGGUCUGCUGUGAAAUCUCGAGGCUCAACUUCGAGCUGUCGGUGGAAACUGUCUGGCUAGAGUCCGGAAGAGGAGAAUGGAAUUCCUGGUGUAGCGGUGAAAUGCGUAGAUAUCGGGAGGAACACCAGUGGCGAAGGCGAGUUUCUGGCCUGCAUCUGACGCUGAGGAGCGAAAGCGUGGGGAGCAAACGGG
rnacentral:rRNA from 1 species